GUUGAACGCUGGCGGCAGGCUUAACACAUGCAAGUCGAGCGGAGAUGAGGUGCUUGCACCUUAUCUUAGCGGCGGACGGGUGAGUAAUGCUUAGGAAUCUGCCUAUUAGUGGGGGACAACAUUCCGAAAGGAAUGCUAAUACCGCAUACGCCCUACGGGGGAAAGCAGGGGAUCUUCGGACCUUGCGCUAGUAGAUGAGCCUAAGUCGGAUUAGCUAGUUGGUGGGGUAAAGGCCUACCAAGGCGACGAUCUGUAGCGGGUCUGAGAGGAUGAUCCGCCACACUGGGACUGAGACACGGCCCAGACUCCUACGGGAGGCAGCAGUGGGGAAUAUUGGACAAUGGGCGGAAGCCUGAUCCAGCCAUGCCGCGUGUGUGAAGAAGGCCUUUUGGUUGUAAAGCACUUUAAGCGAGGAGGAGGCUACCUGGAUUAAUACUCUAGGAUAGUGGACGUUACUCGCAGAAUAAGCACCGGCUAACUCUGUGCCAGCAGCCGCCGUAAUAC
rnacentral:rRNA from 1 species